rnacentral:rRNA from 1 species
GAUGAACGCUGGCGGCGUGCCUAAUACAUGCAAGUCGAGCGAAAAGACGAGGAGCUUGCUCCUCUGACGUUAGCGGCGGACGGGUGAGUAACAUGUGGAUAAUCAACCUAUAAGACUGAGAUAACUUCGGGAAACCGGAGCUAAUACCGGAUAAGAUCCUGACCCGCAUGGUUCAAUAGUGAAAGACGGAUUUGCCGACACUUAUAGAUGGAUCCGCGCCGCAUUAGCUUGUUGGUAAGGUAAUGGCUUACCAAGGCAACGAUGCGUAGCCGACCUGAGAGGGUGAUCGGCCGCACUGAAAGUGAAACACGGUCCAGACUCCUACGGGAGGCACCAGUAGCGAAUCUUGCGCAAUGGGCGGAAUCCUGACGGAGCGACGCCGCGUGAGUUAUGAAGGUUUUCGGAUCGUAAAACUCUGUUAUGAGGGAAAAACAAAUGUGUAAGGAACCAUGCACGUCUUGACGGUACCUAAUCAGAAAGCCACGGCUAACUACGUG